CACGUAGUUAGCCGUGGCUUUCUGGUUAGGUACCGUCAAGGUACGAGCAGUUACUCUCGUACUUGUUCUUCCCUAACAACAGAGUUUUACGACCCGAAAGCCUUCAUCACUCACGCGGCGUUGCUCCGUCAGACUUUCGUCCAUUGCGGAAGAUUCCCUA
rnacentral:rRNA from 1 species